AGGAAAUUCAAGACGUAUCUAAUAUACUUGAACAAGGUGUGGCCAAUGAUCAAAUACAUAUACCAAUACGUCCAUUAGAAGAGGUUAAUUUGCAUGAUCACGCAAUUAUGAAUGUUAGUGGUGUCAGUGAACAAAAUGAUCAUGCCAGAAAGAAACUGGAUUUUGCAGUCGAUGGGAUAAGCUUGGCAAGACCAAAUAACUCAAAACCCAAAGGAAGAACAAUAAAGGGGAGUGAAGAAAGGGUUAUUAAAUUGGGAGCAAAAGGUACAAAGAAAAUGACCAGGAAAUGUCAGAAGUGUGGA